UAAGCAAAGCAUUAAAGCACACGGCUCAACCGUGUAAAUGUGUUUUGAACUGACAAGCUAGAGUAUGGGAGAGGUCACUGGAAUUUCUUGUGUAGGAGUGAAAUCCGUAGAUAUAAGAAGGAACACCGAUGGCGUAGGCAGAUAACUGGCUCAUUCCUGACGCUCAGACACGAAAGCGUGGGUAGCAAACGGGAUUAGAUACCCCGGUAGUCCACGCCCUAAACGAUGGAUGCUA
rnacentral:rRNA from 1 species